rnacentral:miRNA from 1 species
AUGGGGGAGCUGGGAUUGGGCGU